rnacentral:lncRNA from 1 species
AGUACUCACUCAGCCCAGGCUUCCAGGCCCUCCUGGGCCCUCCUAUCCACUGAAGGAAAUGGGAGAUGAGUGGGUAAUGGAAAAGCCUUUGGAGUCAGAUGUAAAUCCAUGACUUGACCACUUAUUGCUGUGAGACCCUGGACAGCUGGAUAUAGAGUUCUUGUUCUAGCAUCCGCCCUGGGAAUCCCCGGAACUGGGCCUCUUACCGACACCAUUGCCUGUAAUCCACAAACCUAGGAGCACAUGGUUAAAGCAUGAGAUGUGAAACCAGGAAGAACCAGGUCUGAACCUUAGCUCCACCAGUGGUAGCUUCAAACCUUGGUCCUUUCUGAGCCUGCUUCUUCAACCGUAAGGGAACGCUACACUUCCUUAGAAAUUAAGAGUGUGUGCUACACUGCUUUACCAGAGCAAGGCCAAAAGCAGCUUCAAUUAUGGUACAACUGUGUGAAGACACAAUGCAAAACCACUCAAGAAUGCUCACUCAAAUGGAUUUUUACCAUGGAACUCGGAAACGGGACCCAGAAAGUUGUUUUCUCAAGUGGAUGGAACAACACAAGCAAUCAGUAUCCUGAAACAGG